rnacentral:lncRNA from 1 species
GAGAACACACAUUAUAUAGUAAUGGAAGCUCCAGUGAGUUUUGGUUGUAGAAGAUCUGGUUGAGGAAAAUAGAAAGUAAGUUGGAUUUAAGGAAUUCUAGUUGAAUGGUUAUGUAAUUGGAGUAAAGACAUAGACCUCAGUUGGUCUCUAUCAGGCGCCAUAUCAACAUUGUACUUGUACUGCUUGACAAAGGCCUCGCCCAAGUCGUUGAAAGUACAAAC